CCAACAGUGUAUUACGGUAGUAGCGGCGAGCGAAGCGGGAAGAGCUCAAAUUUAUAAUCUGGCACCUUCGGUGUCCGAGUUGUAAUCUCUAGAAGUGUUUUCCGCGUUGGACCGCACACAAGUCUGUUGGAAUACAGCGGCAUAGUGGUGAGACCCCCGUAUAUGGUGCGGACGCCCAACGCUUUGUGAUACACUUUCGAAGAGUCGAGUUGUUUGGGAAUGCAGCUCAAAUUGGGUGGUAAAUUCCAUCUAAAGCUAAAUAUUGGCGAGAGACCGAUAGCGAACAAGUACCGUGAGGGAAAGAUGAAAAGCACUUUGGAAAGAGAGUUAACAGUACGUGAAAUUGUUGGAAGGGAAACGCUUGAAGUCAGACUUGCUUGCCGAGCAAUCGGUUUGCAGGCCAGCAUCAGUUUUCCGGGGUGGAUAAUGGUAGAGAGAAGGUAGCAGUUUCGGCUGUGUUAUAGCUCUUUGCUGGAUACACCUUGGGGGACUGAGGAACGCAGUGUGCCUUACGGCGGAUUUCUCGAGAUCUUCACACUUAGGAUGCUGGUGGAAUGGCUUUAAACGACCCGUCUUAAAAACCGGGACCAAAAAUC
rnacentral:rRNA from 1 species